AANUGACGUCAUGCGCGGCAGGCCUAACACAUGCAAGUCGAGCGGUAACAGAAAGUAGCUUGCUACUUUGCUGACGAGCGGCGGACGGGUGAGUAAUGCUUGGGAACAUGCCUUGAGGUGGGGGACAACAGUUGGAAACGACUGCUAAUACCGCAUAAUGUCUACGGACCAAAGGGGGCUUCGGCUCUCGCCUUUAGAUUGGCCCAAGUGGGAUUAGCUAGUUGGUGAGGUAAUGGCUCACCAAGGCGACGAUCCCUAGCUGGUUUGAGAGGAUGAUCAGCCACACUGGGACUGAGACACGGCCCAGACUCCUACGGGAGGCAGCAGUGGGGAAUAUUGCACAAUGGGCGCAAGCCUGAUGCAGCCAUGCCGCGUGUGUGAAGAAGGCCUUCGGGUUGUAAAGCACUUUCAGUCAGGAGGAAAGGUUAGUAGUUAAUACCUGCUAGCUGUGACGUUACUGACAGAAGAAGCACCGGCUAACUCCGUGCCAGCAGCCGCGGUAAUACGGAGGGUGCGAGCGUUAAUCGGAAUUACUGGGCGUAAAGCGUACGCAGGCGGUUUGUUAAGCGAGAUGUGAAAGCCCCGGGCUCAACCUGGGAACUGCAUUUCGAACUGGCAAACUAGAGUGUGAUAGAGGGUGGUAGAAUUUCAGGUGUAGCGGUGAAAUGCGUAGAGAUCUGAAGGAAUACCGAUGGCGAAGGCAGCCACCUGGGGUCAACACUGACGCUCAUGUACGAAAGCGUGGGGAGCAAACGGGAUUAGAUACCCCGGUAGUCACGCCGUAUCGAUGUU
rnacentral:rRNA from 1 species